UUUUUUUUUUUUUGAGAGAGACGAAGAUUAAUUGGAACAAAUAAAACCUAGUAAAAAUAAAGAGAGAUUUGGGGAAAUAAUAAUGGGAUUCUUCUAUUUUUUUAUUUGUUGAGAGAAUGCGUGCAUAAAUAUAUAUUUAUAAGGAUUGUGCUUGUGUUGUGUGAGUGGGAAGAAAUUGAAGGGGGUUUGGAAACAGAGACAGAACAGAACUCAAAGGAGUUUCUUUUGUUUAAUUAAUUACAUACGAAUGAAAGCGUGUCCUGUGAAUGUGAAUGUGAAUGUGAAUGUCCUUUUAAGAUAGAAUCUAAAACUUAC
rnacentral:lncRNA from 1 species